GCAUCCCUGAGGCUCCUGGAUCCCUGCCAGUGCUGCAACUUGGUGGCCACCAGCUUCUUCAGUCUUCCCAGAAGGAGAAUUUCUGGUGAAGCAGUGAAGCACCACCUUUCUUUGGAAAAGAGGGUGCCUAAUAAGUGAGAGGACCCACACAACUAAGGACAAGGGCUAAACCACAUGAUUUCAGAGAAAGACAUGGCCAUGCAGCUUGCAGUAUCCUCUGCUGAGAUUUCAGAAACAGCUGGCAUAGGCUUGAAGACUGCAGUUCCAUGUGUACCAACAACACUUAAUAAGGGACUUUUCCAUCUUCACUGA